UACGGAGGGGGCAAGCGUUGUUCGGAAUUACUGGGCGUAAAGGGCGCGCAGGCGGCUGCUCAAGUCAGGCGUGAAAGGCCUGGGCUCAACCCGGGAAUUGCGCUUGAGACUGGGCUGGCUUGAGUGCGGGAGAGGAUGGUGGAAUUCCCAGUGUAGAGGUGAAAUGCGUAGAGAUGCGGAGGAACACCGAUGGCGAAGGCAGCCCCCCUGGGCCGACAUUGACGCUCAGGCACGAAAGCGUGGGGAGCAAACAGG
rnacentral:rRNA from 1 species